rnacentral:rRNA from 1 species
GACACGACUCUCGACAAUGGAUAUCUCAGCUCUCGCAUCGAUGAAGAGUGCAGCAAAAUGCAAUACAUGGUGCAAAUUGCUGAAUCACACGAAC